rnacentral:rRNA from 1 species
GCAACCUACCCUUCAGUGGGGAAUAACCUGGGGAAACCCGGGCUAAUACCGCAUAACAUCCUUUGGGCUGCGGCCUGGGGGAUCAAAGGAGCAAUUCGCUGAAGGAGGGGCCUGCGGCCGAUUAGCUAGUUGGUGAGGUAACGGCCCACCAAGGCAAAGAUCGGUAGCCGGUCUGAGAGGACGCACGGCCACACUGGAACUGAAACACGGUCCAGACUCCUACGGGAGGCAGCAGUGGGGAAUCUUGCACAAUGCCCGAAAGGGUGAUGCAGCGACGCCGCGUGAGUGAUGAAGCCCUUCGGGGUGUAAAGCUCUUUCGGUGGGGACGAUUAUGACGGUACCCGCAAAAGAAGCCCCGGCAAACUACGUGCCAGCAGCCGCGGUAAUACGUAGGGGGCCAGCGUUGUUCGGAAUUACUGGGCGUAAAGAGCGCGUAGGCGGUGCGGUACGUUCGGUGUGGAAUCUCCCGGCUUAACUGGGAGGGGUCGCCGAAAACGGCC